rnacentral:misc_RNA from 1 species
AUGAGAACUUGCCCCUAGGGGUAGAUCUCCCACCCUGUGUCUACUUACCUUUGUUGCUUUGGCAGGCCCGCCUCGCGGCCGCCGGCUCCGGCUGGCCCGCGCCUGCCAGAGGACUCCAAACUCAUACUAUUUCUGCCGUCUGAGUACUAUACAAUUAUUA